rnacentral:rRNA from 1 species
CUACGGGGGGCUGCAGUGGGGAAUAUUGGACAAUGGGCGAAAGCCUGAUCCAGCCAUGCCGCGUGUGUGAAGAAGGCCUUCGGGUUGUAAAGCACUUUCAGUGGGGAAGAAAGCCUUGGGGCUAAUACCCUCGAGGAAGGACAUCACCCACAGAAGAAGCACCGGCUAACUCCGUGCCAGCAGCCGCGGUAAUACGGAGGGUGCGAGCGUUAAUCGGAAUUACUGGGCGUAAAGCGCGCGUAGGCGGUCUGAUAAGCCGGUUGUGAAAGCCCCGGACUCAACCUGGGAACGGCAUCCGGAACUGUCAGGCUAGAGUGCAGGAGAGGAAGGUAGAAUUCCCGGUGUAGCGGUGAAAUGCGUAGAGAUCGGGAGGAAUACCAGUGGCGAAGGCGGCCUUCUGGACUGACACUGACGCUGAGGUGCGAAAGCGUGGGUAGCAAACAGGAUUAGAUACCCGGGUAGUC